rnacentral:tRNA from 1 species
GCGCCAGUAACUCAGCAGGAUAGAGUAGCUGCCUUCUAAGCAGCAAGUCGCUGGUUCGACUCCAGUCUGGCGUACUA